rnacentral:lncRNA from 1 species
CUUAACUUCAGGGAGAUGAUGCAAAGGACUAAUCCUAGCAAUGCCUGUGGCGUCCAGGCCCCAAAAUAGCCACCCCAGGGGCCCACCUUAUCAUGUCUAUGGGAAAUAUCAUAGGGUGAGACAGAGGAAGUGCAGAGCUGCUGUCCCUUGAUAACAUUUUUGUGGCCCUCAGAGGAAGGAUUAAAAUAGGGCUGCUCUGCUUGUCCUCGGCUGUUGGAAGUGCUGCUUGCACGGUGAGUCACGCUCUUGGGGCUCUGCUGUGGGAAGCACUGAGCAUGACCACCACCACCCCAUCACCCGGAGACGCUGGACGGGAUGCAAGUGGGAGACACCCAAAACCCUACGAAGAGCUGUGUCCAUGGGAUGGCGGUGGUGGAUGACAGAUGGACUCACCAGCAGACUAUUUAUUUCAGGUUCAGGUUUUGCCCCACAGAAGAAAACAGUCUGGAAGCGCACAUAAGCAGUUCAUCUCUGCUUUCAUCUACCUCUGAACUUCAUACAAUUGGGCCUGUUCUCCUCGGUAAGCCAUUGUCACUGGCUUUCGGGCUCAUGUCUACUCCCCUGCCAGCAAAGCAAGCAGUCUCAUCUCUUACACUCGACUCCUAG